GAUGAACGCUGGCGGCGUGCUUAACACAUGCAAGUCGAACGGUGAAGCAGGAGCUUGCUCUUGUGGAUCAGUGGCGAACGGGUGAGUAACACGUGAGCAACCUGCCCCUGACUCUGGGAUAAGCGCUGGAAACGGCGUCUAAUACUGGAUAUGUGAUGUGACCGCAUGGUCUGCAUCUGGAAAGAAUUUCGGUUGGGGAUGGGCUCGCGGCCGAUCAACUUGUUGGUGAGGUAAUGGCUCACCAAGGCGUCGACGGGUAGCCGGCCUGAGAGGGUGACCGGCCACACUGGGACUGAGACACGGCCCAGACUCCUACGGGAGGCAGCAGUGGGGAAUAUUGCACAAUGGGCGGAAGCCUGAUGCAGCAACGCCGCGUGAGGGAUGACGGCCUUCGGGUUGUAAACUUCUUUUAGCAGGGAAGAAGCGAAAGUGACGGUACCUGCAGAAAAAGCACCGGCUAACUACGUGCCAGCCGCCGCAGUAA
rnacentral:rRNA from 1 species